GUGAGGAAUAUUGGACAAUGGGCGCAAGCCUGAUCCAGCCAUGCCGCGUGCAGGAAGACGCAUCUAUGGUGUGUAAACUGCUUUUGUACGGGAAGAAACACUCCCUCGUGAGGGAGCUUGACGGUACCGUAAGAAUAAGGAUCGGCUAACUCCGUGCCAGCAGCCGCGGUAAUACGGAGGAUCCAAGCGUUAUCCGGAAUCAUUGGGUUUAAAGGGUCCGUAGGCGGUUUAAUAAGUCAGGGGUGAAAGCCCAUCGCUCAACGAUGGAACGGCCAUUGAUACUGUUAGACUUGAAUUACAAGGAAGUAACUAGAAUAUGUAGUGUAGCGGUGAAAUGCUUAGAUAUUACAUGGAAUACCAAUUGCGAAGGCAGGUUACUACUUGUGGAUUGACGCUGAUGGACGAAAGCGUGGGGAGCGAACAGGAUUAGAUACCCGGGUAGUCC
rnacentral:rRNA from 1 species